AGCCCUGACUCCUCCUCCUGCUGAGGAGCUCUGCUGUCGAAUAUCCCCAGGAUUUAAUUUCUGGCUGUUUUCUGCUCUGAGGCUGUAAAAGUAAAUUCAAGCAGCUUCAGGGAUGCUUAAGAAGCUUUUUUAAGGUAUGGUGAGCACAGCCAUGCUCCCACGUGGCUCAUUUAAUGAGCCAGGAGCUGCUCUGGUAUUUGACCAUGGGGCCAUUCCUCAGUUAAAUCCUUUUGUGAGAUCCCUACAGCUGGCAGGAUUUUGGACAGGUGCUUUAAAAUCAGUUUUUUACUGUAAAUAAGCAUUUUCUUCAGUGGUAAGAAGCUUCUUUUUGGGUAAAUAGCCAAGGUGUUUGUGAAGAAGGAACAUCUGUGUACACACACAGCUCAUUUGUCACCCUGAAAACUGACUCACAAAAUGUCCAUUCUGAUUUUUCACUUCUUUCCUUUUUCCCACCUCCCUUUGUCAGAGACUCCAGAUGUCUGUGGGAAUGGGAGACUCAAUCUCUCCUUCCCCAGGGAGCCAGGAAUUUGGGAAACUCUCACUCAGCCCAUUUCUGGCCUUCUAAAUUAAUUUUCUUUACUAAAACCUCCCCCCAAAAAAAGCUGCCCAAGGCUUCUGAAAGCAGAGCUUUCAUCACUACCUAUGGAUGGCUCCAAAAGAGGCCCUGCCUAAAGCUCGACUGUACAACAGGAGUUCCCUUUUCCUUCCUUCCUCCUCCCAGAUGCAAACCUGACUUGGGAAAUUAUUCUGAAAGAUUGACACUUAAAUCAGGGUAAAAUAGUGGUGGAAUUCUGUUCUGUCUGCAGGAGACACUGCUGAGCAGUCUGUGAUUUACUGACAGUCACUAGUGGUUCUGCUUUUCAAUUAAUUGAGAUUUUUAUUCUUAUAAAUCAUGAUUUCUCUGGCCCUGUUUAAGGCAGAAGUGAGUGAGCUGGGAUUUGAAUGGGUAAUGCUCCCUUUGUGCCACACACACAGCUGCUGGUACCUGCCACAAUGUUCUUUUUACUUCCCUUUUAUUGGACAGAUUUGACAAUUCUUACAAGGCUGGGGAGAGGAUUCCUGGAUCUAUCUCAGGAGCUGCUUAAUAAAAAAGGGAAAUUACCAGACGUGUUUACA
rnacentral:lncRNA from 1 species